rnacentral:rRNA from 1 species
GCAGUAGCCGCGGUAAUACGGAGGGUGCAAGCGUUAAUCGGAAUUACUGGGCGUAAAGCGCACGCAGGCGGUUUGUUAAGUCGGAUGUGAAAUCCCCGAGCUUAACUUGGGAACUGCAUUUGCAACUGGCAAGCUAGAGUCUUGUAGAGGGGGGCAGAAUUCCACGUGUAGCAGUGAAAUGCGUAGAGAUGUGGAGGAACACCGAUGGCGAAGGCAGCCCCCUGGGCCAAUACUGACGCUCAUGCACGAAAGCGUGGGGAGCAAACAGGAUUAGAUACCCGCGUAGUCCCUGUCUCUUAUAC